UACAGAGGGUGCGAGCGUUAAUCGGAAUUACUGGGCGUAAAGCGUGCGUAGACGGCUAUCUAAGUCGGGUGUGAAAGCUUCGGGCUCAACCUGGGAAUUGCAUUCGAGACUGAAUAGCUAGGGUGCGGUAGAGGGAAGCGGAAUUCCAGGUGUAGCGGUGAAAUGCGUAGAUAUCUGGAGGAACACCGGUGGCGAAGGCGGCAUCCUGGACCGACACUGACGCUGAGGAGCGAAAGCCAGGGGAGCAAACGGG
rnacentral:rRNA from 1 species